rnacentral:lncRNA from 1 species
CACGGUCCAGGUGAGCAACAGCAGCAGCCGCAGACGAAGGCUCUGUAAAAAGGUGUCAACAACUGGAUGUGAAAACUNAAGAAUCUAGCUCGCGACUCCCUUCCCGCGGUCGGAAUCAGUAACAGCAGCAGCCGCAGACGAAGGCUCUACAAAAAGGUGUCAACAACUGGAUGUGAAAACUACUAUAAAACAGAGUAGUUCUCAGUGUAUACCGCCACCGACCUCAACAGCCCACCCACUAAGUCUACAAAAAUAUGCACAAGAAUAGUAAAGAAAGCUGAAAAAACUCUACAGCUACAUGCCACUAUAUUAUCGCUAACCCACACAGGCUAUCUGUAGAUAAACAAAACAUGCUUCACACUGACCCAAUCUCACUAGGGCUGCCCAAACGAAUCCACCCUGUCUGUAACCAAGCUGUACCGUACACCACCA